CACUGAGAUACACAAAGACAUUAUUGCUUCCAGUUGUUCUUGUAGUGUUUGUUGCUAUUGUUAGAAAGAUUAUUAGUGAUAUGUGGGGUGUCUUAGCUAAACAACAGACACAUGUAAGAAAACACCAGUUUGAUCAUGGAGAGCUGGUUUACCAUGCAUUGCAAUUGUUAGCAUAUACAGCCCUUGGUAUUUUAAUUAUGAGACUAAAACUCUUCUUGACACCACACAUGUGUGUUAUGGCAUCACUGAUCUGCUCAAG
rnacentral:lncRNA from 1 species